GACUCAGCAGGUAGUGUUGUGCUUUUUCUGCCCCUGCUUUCUGCACAGGUGACUGGAGUUGACUGGUGGGCGUGGUACACACCUGAGGCUCGUUCUGUGGUUACCUGUCUGCGCUAUAAAAGGAGCUCUCUGACAGCUGGAGGAUGCCAGAGUGUUAACCUUGUGUGAACGCUCCCUCGACUCUAAACCUGCUCCGGGCGUUUCCCCAGUGCUCGCCUGGUGUCUCCAGCUGAUCGCUGAUCACUGCUCCCAACGGCGCAGCUUGGAUCCUGCACGAGUUUCCCCGGCCCGCUCAUCGGUCACCCAGUCACCGGAUCACCUCACCCAGGCAGCGCUGAGUCCGCUCCUCCACACCACCUCCCCAGUGCGCUUUCUGAGCUCAGUGCUCGUGCAAACCCCGGUCCCGUGACUCUGCCUGACGCUGACUCAUUGUUUAGUUUUCUCGUUUCUCUGAAUUUAUUUCUGAGCUUUAAUAAAACCCUGAAUCUGCUUCCUGUCUCCCGAGUGUUGUCUGCAUGUGGGCCAAACACGUGAAAAACAUGACAGAAGAACACUCUGGCCAGUCUGACCCAGCAGACACACUCGGGAGAACGCUCUCUGCCCAUCAGGAGCAGCUUCAGGCUCUCCAACUAGCCAUGCAAACUGCGCAGAAUCAGCUGCAGGGGCUUACAGCCCAGAUCAGUCAGCUGUCUGACACGUUCUGCGCUGCGUUCCAGACCUCAGCCUCCGCUCCCCCGAGCGCAGCGAGCGCAGCCCCAGAGCCCACACAGAUUGAGCCGCUGCCGUCAAUCCCUGAGACCUCCUCCCCUAGCCCUGAGAAGUUUUCUGGGGACAGCGGGGACUGUGGAGGAUUUUUAUUUCAGUGCUCCUUAGUUUUCAAUCGUUCCCCGCGAACGUACCCCAAUGAUGAGGCAAAGAUCUCUUUCAUCCUGCGCCUAUUAACAGGGCGAGCAUUAAGAUGGGCUGAGUCCCGCUUUCCCGACUGCCGACGUUUCCGCUGCACUUUUGAUGAGU